AUUAACUAGCAGCCUUAGUAAUUAUUUCUAAGAUUAUUUGUUAUUUGCCUCUCUCUGCGCUAAAAGCUUAUUUGUUAUUUGUGUUAGUGCUUGGCCACUGUCUCUUCCUUUUGUCUUCUUUACUCCGCUUUAACCAACACAACAUGCUAGUAGCACUGGUGUUGCUGCUGGCAUUGAGCAAUGAAGUAAGAGUUAAUGGUUAUGGUAGUUCUGAGCAAUGUGAAUAUAGUCCAGAACUAGCUCCAAGACCACCAGUCUUAGUCUUAUUAAUUAUAUAUAUUCAUCAGUUCAAAUCUUUAUAGUUCUAUGGCAGUCAUUGUAUGUGAACACAAACUCUUGUUACAUCAUUGUGUGUAAACUCAAACCCUGCCUUUUUUUCUUCUUUUUAUUUUUAAAGAAUACAAGAAUUAUAGAUGUGCCUAA